GACGAACCGUGCGAACGUUGUUCGGAAUCACUGGGCUUAAAGGGCGCGUAGGCGGGCAAGCAAGUCAGGGGUGAAAGCCCACGGCUCAACCGUGGAAGUGCCUUUGAUACUGCUGGUCUUGAGGGAGGUAGGGGCGUGCGGAACUUCCGGUGGAGCGGUGAAAUGCGUAGAUAUCGGAAGGAACACCGGUGGCGAAAGCGGCGCGCUGGAUCUCUUCUGACGCUGAGGCGCGAAAGCCAGGUGAGCAAACGGG
rnacentral:rRNA from 1 species